rnacentral:rRNA from 1 species
CCCUUAGAUGUUCUGGGCCGCACGCGCGCUACACUGAUGCAUUCAACGAGUUUCUUCCUGGUCCGAGAGGAAUGGGUAACCUUUUGAAAGUGCAUCGUGAUAGGGAUAGACUAUUGCAAUUAUUGGUCUUCAACGAGGAAUUCCUAGUAGACGUGGUUCAUCAGACUGCAUCGAUUACGUCCCUGCCCUUUGUACACACCGCCCGUCGCUCCUACCGAUUGAACGGUUUAGUGAGGGCCUCGGAUUGGUCUCGGCCCGCUCUUUACCGGGCGGCGCCGUUGGUCGAGAAGACGCUCGAACUUGAUCGUUUAGAGGAAGUAAAAGUCGUAACA